rnacentral:rRNA from 1 species
UAAUACAGAGGGUGCAAGCGUUAAUCGGAAUUACUGGGCGUAAAGGGUGCGUAGGUGGUUUGAUAAGUUGGGUGUGAAAGUCCUGAGCUUAACUUGGGGAUUGCGCUUAAUACUGUCGAGCUAGAGUACUGUAGAGGAAGGUGGAAUUUCCAGUGUAGCGGUGAAAUGCGUAGAUAUUGGAAGGAACAUCAGUGGCGAAGGCGACUUUCUGGACAGAUACUGACACUGAGGCACGAAAGCAUGGGGAGCAAACAGGAUUAGAUACCCUGGUAGUCCAUGCCGUAAACGAUGAGGACUGGCUGUUGGGUGCCUAGAGCACUUAGUAGCGAAGCUAACGCGUUAAGUUCUCCGCCUGGGGAGUACGGUCGCAAGAUUA